rnacentral:rRNA from 1 species
GACGAACGCUGGCGGCGUGCUUAACACAUGCAAGUCGAACGGAAAGGCCCUGCUUUUGUGGGGUGCUCGAGUGGCGAACGGGUGAGUAACACGUGAGUAACCUGCCCUUGACUUUGGGAUAACUUCAGGAAACUGGGGCUAAUACCGGAUAGGAGCUCCUGCUGCAUGGUGGGGGUUGGAAAGUUUCGGCGGUUGGGGAUGGACUCGCGGCUUAUCGGCUUGUUGGUGGGGUAGUGGCUUACCAAGGCUUUGACGGGUAGCCGGCCUGAGAGGGGGACCGGGCACCAUGGGACUGAGAUACGGCGCAGACUGCAAUGGGAGGCAGCAGUGGAGAGUAUGACACAACGGGCGGAAGCCUGAUGCGACAACGCCGCGUGCGGGAUGACGGCCUUCGGGUGGUAAACCGCUUUCGCCUGUGACGAGGCGUGAGUGACGGUAAUGGGUAAAGAAGCAACGGCUAACUACGUG